UCGAGAAUCUUCCGCAAUGGGCGCAAGCCUGACGGAGCGAUGCCGCGUGAGGGAUGAAGGCCUUCGGGUUGUAAACCUCUGUCGCCCGGGACGAACACAAUGACGGUACCGGGAGAGGAAGCUACGGCUAACUACGUGCCAGCAGCCGCGGUAAUACGUAGGUAGCAAGCGUUAUUCGGAUUUACUGGGCGUAAAGGGUCCGCAGGGGGCCUGUCAAGUCUGAUGUGAAAUGCCACGGCUCAACCGUGGAACGGCAUUGGAAACUGACGGGCUAGAGUGCAUGAGGGGUGAGCAGAAUUCCUGGUGUAGCGGUGGAAUGCGUAGAUAUCAGGAGGAAUACCGAUGGCGUAGGCGGCUCACUGGCGUGCAACUGACCCUCAGGGACGAAAGCGUGGGUAGCAAACAGG
rnacentral:rRNA from 1 species